rnacentral:tRNA from 1 species
GGCCCGGUGGCCGUCGGAGCGGUGGCGUCGGUCGGGGCGGCGGUGAGGGUGGUGGUCCGGCUCAUCGGGUCUCCUCCAGUUCGGGAUG